AUGCCAUUUGGCCUGUGCAACGCCCCUGCAACUUUUCAGUGUCUCAUGAACACUGUAUUCGGGCGAUACGUCCGUAAGUUUAUCAUCAUAUUUCUCGAUGAUAUUCUUGUCGUCGGCACUGACCUGCAAGAACAUGAGGAGCACCUGCGGCUCACCUUACAGCUGCUCCACGAACACCAGCUUUUUGCCAAGGCAUCCAAGUGCUCGUUCGUGCAAACCAGCAUCGAGUACUUGGGGCACGUGAUCUCCAAGGACGGAGUCGCCACCGACACGACCAAGACCAACGCCAUGCAGGCCUGGCCCGUGCCCACGACGGCCACCGAGCUCCGCGGCUUCCUCGGCCUGACCGGCUACUACCGCAAAUUUGUCCCUCACUACGGCGUCAUCGCGAAGCCGCUGACCCAACUCCUGACGAAGAAAGGAUUCACCUGGAAUGACAAGGCCCAGCAGGCAUUCGAGCUGCUGAAGCAAGCCAUGGUGAGCACGCCGGUGCUGGCGCUCCCCGACUUUGCCAAGCCGUUC
rnacentral:rRNA from 1 species